UUAUGUACCUUUACCAAGUCAGGCUGGUUUAGACAGGCUAAAGGAAUGCUUGAGUGCACUUCAAGCUGGUUUAUACCCACCAUAUUAUGUACCUUUACCAAGUCAGGCUGGUUUAGACAGGCUAAAGGAAUGCUUGUGUGCACUUCAAGCUGGUUUAUACCCGCCACAUUAUGUACCUUUACCAAGUCAGGCUGGUUUAGAUAGGCUAAAGGAAUGCUUGUGUGCACUUCAAGCUGGUUUAUACCCGCCACAUUAUGUACCUUUACCAACUCAGGCUGGUUUAGACAGGCUAAAGGAAUGCUUGUGUGCACUUCAAGCUGGUUUAUACCCGCCACAUUAUGUACCUUUACCAAGUCAGGCUGGUUUAGAAAGGCUAAAGGAAUGCUUGUGUGCACUUCAAGCUGGUUUAUACCCGCCACAUUAUGUACCUUUACCAAGUCAGGCUAUCUUGUUCGUGUGGUAGAUGUGGUCUAUUGUACCAAUUAGUAUUUUUGACGAUUUCUAUUCUCCUUUUUUAUGUAUCGGCUCAGAUACACAUAACCCAUAUCUCUUUUAUUUCUUUUUAUGUAGAUAAGAUUCUGUGGGUAUAUUUUCGGUGAUUUAAGCAUUCGUUGUUAAUUGGUUGGCGUAGACAAAGUUUGUUUUUCACAUACAGGUAAAACAGAGUGUGAUCUUUUAAUUUUUGUUAGUAUUGACAUUUGGCUGCCGUUUGAGUUGUAUUUUUAAAUGGUUUGUCAUAUUAUUAAUUCAACAACAUGAAACAUAUUGGAUAUAGUUGAUCAAUCUAAUAUACAAAAUUAGGCGUGCGCAUGCAAUAAUCAAAAUUAUUAGAAGAGUACUUUCAUUGCUGUUCUUCAUCCCAAAGUCAUAGUUAACUCUAUUUGGUAUUGACAUUAUCUUGUUGUAUCUUGUGAAUGAAGUUCAUAUAGUUUCUAUCUGAGUCAAAUAUUUCCUGGUAAAAUAACAGCUAAUAAAACAGUUGGUGAAUACGUCAGAAAAAAACAAAAGUACAUCUUAUAUUUUAUAUCUUGUAUUUCAUAUUGAAUUAUUAGUUAAUCGUCCAAAUAUUGUCCUAUGUAUUUUUACAAAUAUGAUUAUGAAUGACUUACCUUAUAAUUGUCGAUAUUUGACGACCGGAAGUACCAGCAAAUUAAUUUCCGGAAAAUAUGUAAAAGCGAAAGUAAAAGUUUUCAAGUAUUUGAUUUUUUAUUUUCUUUAAUAUUUGCAUAUUUGUUCCUCGGUUAGUCCCAAUUGCAUCGUUUAGUCGCUUAGGCAUAAAGUUUGAAUUUUACCAAAGAAGAAGACUUGAAGUUUAUUUCUACUAGCAUGGUAUUAACAUACGGUAGAUACUUCUUAUACAGUUGUAUUUAAAUGUAGAUCUUUCCAUAUACCUGUGUUUUGUGAGACUAUUUUUAUCUUCAUAACUAUACUCUGAACAGUGUUG